CCCAAUUGACGUUGUUGGGUAAGCGAGGCGGGCCUGGGAAGCUGAGUGGGAGUGGCGCGGAACUGCAGCGGUUCCUGAAAACCUGAGUGGCGGCAAGCCGGGUCUGCGAGCUAAUAUUUUUAAAAUGACCACACCAAAUAAGACACCUCCCGGUGCUGACCCUAAGCAGUUGGAAAGGACUGGAACAGUACGGGAAAUUGGGUCACAAGCUGUUUGGUCACUCUCAUCUUGCAAACCAGGAUUUGGAGUGGAUCAAUUACGAGAUGACAAUCUAGAAACUUAUUGGCAGUCAGAUGGCUCCCAGCCUCAUUUAGUGAACAUCCAAUUCAGAAGAAAAACAACAGUGAAGACAUUAUGUAUUUAUGCGGACUACAAAUCUGAUGAAAGCUAUACUCCAAGCAAGAUCUCAGUCAGAGUAGGAAAUAAUUUUCACAAUCUUCAAGAGAUUCGGCAACUUGAAUUGGUGGAACCAAGUGGCUGGAUUCACGUUCCUUUAACUGAUAAUCAUAAGAAGCCAACUCGCACAUUCAUGAUACAGAUUGCUGUUCUAGCCAAUCAUCAGAAUGGAAGAGAUACCCACAUGAGACAAAUUAAAAUAUACACACCCGUGGAAGAGAGCUCCAUUGCAGAAUCUCAGCUCUUUUUUCUAUGAGUUCCACAAAGAGUUUGUCAUUUUCAUUCUGUUGUCUUUAAAGUAAGAAGCAUGGAAGAAGACAAACAAUCCCAUUAAAGUGAGCAAAAGAUUUAAACAAUCAUUUCAUCAAAGAAGACAUAUGAUUGACAAAUAAGCAUAUGAAAAGAUGCUCAACUUCAUUGGAUGUUAGUGAAAUGCAAAUUAAAAUCGUAAUGAGAUACCAUUUCACAGCCACUAGAAUGACUGUGGUUAAAAUGACAACGAGGAGGGGGAAGGGUAAGCUGGGACGAAGUGAGAGAGUGGCAUGGACAUAUAUACACUACCAAAUGUAAAACAGAUAGCUAGUGGGAAGCAGCCGCAGAGCACAGGGAGAUCAGCUCGGUGCUUUGUGUCCCCCUAGAGGGGUGGGAUAGGCAGGGUGGAAGGGAGAUGCAAGAGGGAGGAGAAAUGGGGAUAUUAUGUAUAGCUGAUUCACUUUGUUAUACAGCAGCAACUAACACAACAUUGUAAAACAAUUAUACUCCAAUAAAGAUGUUAAAAAAAAAGACAAUUGCACGUGUUAGCAAAGAUAUGGAGGAAAUGGACCUCUUGUCAAACUACUGAUGAGGAUGUAAUUAGUGUAUAACCACUUUGGAAAACAUUUUGGUAAUUUCUUAAGUUAAACAUAUACCUGUGUAUGGGUAUUUACCCAAGAGAAAAGAAAGCAUAUGUCCGUACAAAGACUUGCACAUGAAUGUUCAUAGCAGCUUUAUUUGUAGUACCUAAAAAUUGGAAACAAUGCAAAUGUUGAUCAAUAGGAGAAGGUAUAAACAAAUUGUGGUAAAUCCAUAUAAUAGGAUACUACUCAGCGAUAAAAAUAAAUGAACAGUUAAUACAUGCGACAACAUGGAUACAUUUACAAAAUAAUUAUGCUGAAAGAAAGAAACCACAAAAAAGAGUAUAUAGUGUAUGAUUCUUUUUUUUUUUUUUUUAAUUCUAGAAAGUACAAACUCAUCAAGUGAUAGAAAGCAUAUUAGUGGUUGCACAGGAUGGGGAGCAGACAGAAGCAAGAAGGCAUGAAUUAUUUGGGGGGAUGACAGAAAUGUUCAUUAUCCUGACAGUGGUACUGGUUUCACAGCUAUAUACAUAUGCCAAAAUUUAUCAAAUCAUACAUAUGUGCAGUUUAUUGCAUGUCAAUCAUACCUUAAUAAAGCUGAUUUUAAAAUAGCUUAUUCUACCUGUUUCACAUAGGAAUCACCCAAAGAGGCUAGAUUUGACAUAGUUACAUUUCUUACUGUAUAGGAUCUGAGAAUAAAAAACUAACAUUGAAACGCCAUCUUAACAGUUAAUAAAACAAUGACAGCAACUUCACAGAUUCAUCCGUAAUCAGUAUACUUUUUGAGUAUUGAUCAAACUGCAGUUAUGAGAUUUAAAUAUUUAAAUUAUACAUGUAAUUGAAGUAUUAGACACUUUAAAAAUCAGCUUAUUACCUGUGGAAAUACUGUCACAAGGAACUCUUUGUAUAAACCUGGAAUUUUAAAAGACAGCAGUUCACUGAAGGCUAAUAAAUACCCAACUCUAAAAAGACUAAUAGAUAUUGAAUGUUGAAUUAGACAUAAUAAGGAAACCAAAGUAAAUCUGAUGCAGACUUUGCUUUCCAGUUGCUUAUAGUCUACUAGGGGAAAUAAUAGGUCUCUGAUAACCAGAUCAGAAAUUAGACUGGUAAGAUCUCUAACUGGUGGAUGGAAAAGAGAGAGUUAACUUCUUAUUCAGAAGUUAGAGGUGAAGCUAAAAGAAGGCAUUGUGGAGGAGGUGGAACUGAAGAAAGAAAGACUAUUUGUAAUAUCAGCUAGUUAUUCACUUUUUAAGCCUAUUCUCGAAUCCAAACUAUCAUUGUUUUUACGUGAAUAACAACAAUUAAUUUGAAACAGAUGAUUUGUAUGUUAGGAAUCCAGUGAUGUUUUGUACUUUUGCUCUCAUUUGAAAGAUUCCAACAAUUAAAACACAGACCAAUCUUGAAAAGUAAUUUUAGACACCAUGCCUUCUGUUCUUUUAGCCAUUAUGACUACUAGUUUAGUACAGAUUAAUACACUACAGUAUAAAUUUUUAUGAGUAUAAAAUGUUAUAACUCAAAUACAAAUAUUUGAUGUUUCUAGUGUUUUAGAAAAUUUUACUUUAAAUUCUUAAUAACAUGUUGGCUUAUUAUAUGUCAUUUUUAAUUGAAUUCUUGGUUCAAUUACCUUUUAAAAAUGAUAAAAGUUGCAAAAUAUGUUAAAUUAAAGCAUUAGGGAAAAUAAUACUUUGUAGUUGUGGUUAUUUGGAGACACUUUUGCUUUGUGGAGCUUUUAAAACAAGUUAAUCUUCUUUUGCCCACAUUGUUUUGAUUUUUCCCACUUCUACUAUGACUCCCUAGAGUAUGGUGUUUGGAAGUGUUUGCUGUACAAAGCUGUUUACCAGCCAUCUACAAGGAAGCUCUCUGUGCUUCAUGAUCUGCCAUUUAGUUGGGCCUGCUUCUGUGCAAUGGUGUCUAGAAGGCGUUAGAGAGAGGAAGACAACAAAGGAAAAACCUCAGGGAUUAGUUUAUUAAUUAUCCAUGAUAAUGAUUUAUUCUAUUAACAGGACAUAUCUUAAGGCUAAUUAAUUACAACUCCCCCCACCAUAAAUCUAAGAAAAUGUCUAUAACCCAUGGCAAUUUUGUAAGAAAAGUUGAAAUUAUUUUUUAGUAAUACUAACCAGUCUGUAUUUCAGUUUUAUGUGAAAGUACCCUCCCUUUUUUCUGUGGCUAAUCCUGCCACCAUUGUUUGUCUUCUCUUGUCCUUUCUGGUUAAAAGAAUCAAUUUACUAUUUUGCCAACAUAAGCAAAAUGACAGUUACACCAACUUAAAGGUAUUCUAUCUUAUGAAAUCUUUUUCUGAGUGAAUUGGUAUUUCAGGAAAUGGUAUUUCACAUCAUGUAUAAUUGAAGCUCUAGUAUUUACCAUCUCAGUUGUUUUAAUUACUGCAUUUGUGGCCGUAAGCUUUCCACUGAUGCAGUUCAAUGGUGACCAUAAGAUGUUUUUCCACUAUGUAUUUGCUUUUCCGGUGUUGAGAGCAAAUUACGAUUCUCUCCCUGUGGUCCUAGAAAUAACUCCCCCAACUGUUUUUAUAGACUUUAUUCUGAGACCAGCUCUCCUCUGUACCCUGGCAUUCAUCUAUAGCUGGAGAUCCAGAUUUUAACAGAUCAUUUCCUGUUAUUACUAUAGCAGUAUCAAAAUACUGAUCACUUACCAAGAAGCAAAGUAUCCAAAACACUGAAGUAGAGAGUUCAGCCAGCUGUUUGUUUUCCAACUGUUAAAAUUUAUAAGAAUCACAUGUUAAAUGAAUAUGGAGAAAUAAUGAAAUAAAGGGUAGGCUCCGUAAAAGGAGGAUGGUAACAAGCCAUCCAGCUAUUAAGUUAUAACACACUCAGGUGUCUACCAAGACAAAGGAAAGGAAUUUUACUAUUUAUCUUAAAAACAGUGCUUAUUUUUAAGGUAGCAUUCAGUAACUGAUAGGAGAUGCAAGGAAGUCCUUGUCAUGAAGUCUUCUUUCAUUUUUUUCCAUCAUCCAGGCUGUUUAGAACAAAAUUCAUCAUUUCUUUCUUGAAAUGUUCAACUGUUAGACUGGUAUUUGGGUGUAACUUUGACUCUUCUCCUUCAUCUUUACAUACUCAGUAACUGUAAGCCCUGCAGAUUCUUUUUCCACAUUAAUUAUCACUUUUGGUUUCACCCCAUUCACAUCAUUCUAGGUCAGUUCAGUCUUACCAGAAAAGAAACGACACCGGAUAAAACUUUCUAAUGUUGCAAACUGGAAUAGAUGCUAACCGCCCUGUAAGUUCUUUAAUACACAUGCACAUUUCCAGAGGUAGGAAAUGAAUAUCACGCUAAAUGAGAAGCUCCAGUGCUCUCUUACCCUGUCCAACUAGUUCUAAGCCAGUCUAUUAGACCCACUCUUACUCCUAAUUCUAGUUCUGAAUCCCUUAGCUGCUGGUAGCUACUUCUUGUUUGUUCUCUCUUGGCCCUUUGGAAUUUCACGAUAAGGACUAUUUUUGUAGCUCCAAACUUGUCUCCCCUCAGUGUUGUUUCCUUAGGCCACGUUGGGUAAGUUUUCUUUAUUUUGAUCAACUGAAUAGUACUCUCUAUCCUAUACUAUCUCUAAUAACAUAGCUGAUCAUGUUAGUAACACUGUGCCAAUGAAGAGAGAUAAAUACAGUUUGGCAUAUGACAUUUACUAAGGCUGGAAAGCAUGCAAUACAUUUUAUAAAGAAAUAUUUAGAGGGGAAUAAUCCACAUGUCAUUUUGUCAUUAUUAAGGAUACUUGAUUACUCAUCCCUAUUAAAUAAAAAAGUUGUUGACUCUACAAUGCUGUGAUCAGUUGUACUGCAUAUAGUCUCCAGGAGAAAAUUAUUGCAUGUUUUUUCAAACAAUCAGCCUAUACGAUUGAAUGCCUUAUAUCCUGUGUAGAAUACAAAUAAGUAGAAAACGUGUUUCCUAUUCAAAAAGAAUUUAUAGUCUAGCUGAUGAUAGCUAGGAACACAGAGACAUUCACACAUACUUAACAAAAGGUAAUAUUGACUGAAACAGAUAAGUAUUGUUUUAAUAAGGACAAAUAUCACCAGUGCCCAGGGUAGUCAGUAAGGUUCUUAUGGAAGAGAGAGAAAUUCAUGUACAUAGGGGUAUCUGAAGAGGCCUUCUUCUUAGGUUAUGUACAAGUUGAGAAAUAGUGAAGAUGAAGGUCAAAGUAUCACCUUCUUUUCUAAUAGACAACAAAUUGAGGGAUGUGUUUUUAAGUCUUAGCUAAUUUGGGCUUUUCUAAUAAUGAAUCCUUAAGAUUCAUGUCAUAGCUGGUUGCACUGAAUGGGUCGGGGAGCUCCCUAGAAGGAGAAUGGAACUGAGCCAUAUAGCUUCAAUUAUUCUUCCUAUAUUUACAAAUCAAAUGUUUACCUCCUUGGGGAUGGAGUAAAGGGGUGGAGAGAGGCUCCGAGUAAAGGAACUGAGUUUCCUUUCAGUUGGGAAUCAUCAGGAGUGGGGAAGAAGUGUUCCAAAAUUUAUACUCUGGUUCCAGAACAAUGUGUAGGUUUAAGUGGAGAGAGAGAAAAUGGGAGAGCAUUUUAGGCAUGGAAAGCUGUACACAUUUGUGAAGGAAUGAGGAGGUUAUAUUCAGACUACAGUAAGCAGGGUGUUAACUUUAGUAACUAUGUAACAUCAAGUUAUAAGAUGGAAGAAAGGUAGGGCAGGGUCGGGUCAAAGUUUAAUCUUACCCUGUUAUGUAUAGGGUAACUAUAGUUUUAUAUGCAUACCCUUAUAUUCCUCUUAUAUUUAAUGCUAUAUUAAAACUUCGGAGGAGAAAAGAUGCAAUGUGGGCAGCCUAACACCCACCACCAUUAUAAGUUGUGAAGGAGACCAUGGAAUUAAAAACUAUUUUUUGAAACUAGUUUUUGUAAGUCAAAAUAUUUAGUUAAUAUUUGUCUUACAUAAUUAAGAUUGGACCUUGGAGAAGACUAUCAGAAGUUUGCCUGGAUAAACAGUUGGGUGGAAAUCUGUGCUUUUCCAAAGGGCAUUCCUCAGAGGAUGAUGCUUGUGGAAUCACGGAAAUGUCCACCCAGUUUGGAUCCACUGUUCCAUGUUCCCUCCUUCCAUUCCAGACGUUUAGAUAAUAAAGGAAAUUCUUAGAAAAAUCCACUUGUAAGCAAGACCAUCAGAAAUCAUACAUACAUAGCCCCAAAUAAGGCUCUCAAGUGGCCAUUAUAAACAAUUUAACUUCUUGGAAUAUGGCAUGUUAUGUGUUUAAACAAAGUCAUUAGUAGAAAUACAACUUGAUUCCUUUGGGUCCAAUUUGUGCUUGUCUUACAUCUAAUUACUUUUGGAUUCAAAAAUAAAAAAGACUUCUUUUAGAAAUGAAGUCUUUGAAACAGUAUUAAUUCAUACUAUAAUCCCUUUUAAAGAUAUGUUAACUGAAUCAUGAAAUAUACUAAUGAUAUGAAGAAACAAUAUAGUGUAAGCACAGUUUCUUGUUUUAAAUAAUAGUAACCAUUUUGCAUAUGCUUUUUGUGUAGCUAGUGAAUAUAAUAAGAGGAAAUAUUAUUUUAAUGGAAGGGUCCUGUGUGUGAAAUUUUCUAUUAUUUGCAAGCUAAAAGGAAGUGACUCAGUAAUAUGGGAAUUAUAUGAGCACUUGAAUCCUAUCUAUGUAAUCUUUGGCCAAUUUUAUCAGCCUUUUUCUUUCUUUUUUUUUUUUUUUUUUUUUGCAGUACGCGGGCCUCUUACUGCUGUGGCCUCUCCCAUUGCGGAGUACAGGCUCCGGACGCGCAGGCUCAGCGGCCAUGGCUCACAGGCCCAGCCACUCCGUGGCAUGUGGGAUCUUCCCAGACCGGGGCACAAACCCGCGUCCCCUGCGUCGGCAGGCAGACUCCCAACCACUGUGCCACCAGGGAAGCCCA